AAAACAAUUAACUGAUUACUCAAAAAUGCUUUGUUCAAUCACAAACUCCGAACUACAAAUGCCCUCCCUUCAAAUUCAAUGAAUGAGUUUGUUUGGGCUUAAGUGAUGGUAAAAUCGUAUUAUUAGAUGUAGGACUUCGGUUCAUGAAAUAACCAAAAUGUCAAGAAAAAGCUACAAGAUAGGAUCAUAUACUAGUCUGAGAAACAAUUCCAGACUGAAAUGAAAUCCGCAGACGCAUGAGGUCCAAGGGAAUACAUUAUUACGAGUACUUCAGAACAACCGGAAAAUGUCCACAGCUCAGCUCAUUGUGUUGUUUCAACAAGUUUCUCAUCCUUCUUUCCUUUGCCCCUGGUAAAGAACUUGUACCCUCCAAAGAAGAGUAGGCCCCAUCCCGAUAGAGAGACAAUCACGAAAUGCUCCUCCUUCCAUUUAGAUGGGCUCAUGGGAUCUUGCCAGCAGUUAACCUUCGGUGGUCCAUGGUGGUCGGCAGCGCCAGCGAGGCCGCGCCUGUGAAUAAGGGUGGCGGUUGACUGAGGAGAGGAGACUCGAGUUAGGGCUCUGGCUUGACGAACUGCAGCCGCCGCUAAGGUAGCCAUGGAUUCAGAUUUUCUUCCCUACAGAGAGAGAGAGAUCGAUCAAUGAGGCUGAUACGGCGAAACGG
rnacentral:misc_RNA from 1 species